GAUGUUCCAAAUGGUAAGAAUGACA
rnacentral:misc_RNA from 1 species